UACGUAGGGUGCAAGCGUUAAUCGGAAUUACUGGGCGUAAAGCGGGCGCAGGCGGUUAUGCAAGGCAGAGGUGAAAUCCCCGGGCUCAACCUGGGAACUGCCUUUGUGACUGCAUAGCUAGAGUACGGUAGAGGGGGAUGGAAUUCCGCGUGUAGCAGUGAAAUGCGUAGAUAUGCGGAGGAACACCGAUGGCGAAGGCAAUCCCCUGGACCUGUACUGACGCUCAUGCACGAAAGCGUGGGGAGCAAACAGG
rnacentral:rRNA from 1 species